rnacentral:ncRNA from 1 species
CGCUCAGUGAUAAAGGAGGUGGGGGUGCAAAGACAGCCAGGAGGUUUGCCUAGAAGCAGCCACCCUUUAAAGAGUGCGUAAUAGCUCACUGAUCGAGCGCCCUUGCGCUGAAGAUGAAUGGGGCUAAGCGAUCUGCCGAAGCUGUGGGAUGUCAAAAUGCAUCGGUAGGGGAGCGUUCCGCCUUAGAGGGAAGCAACCGUGAAAGCGGGGGUCGACGAAGCGGAAGCGAGAAUGUCGGCUUGAGUAACGAAAACAUUGGUGAGAAUCCAAUCCCCCGAAAACCCAAGGUUUUCUCCGCAAGGUUCAUCCACGGAGGGUGAGUCAGGGCCUAAGAUCAGGCCGAAAGGCGUAGUCGAUGGACAACAGGUCAAUAUUCCUGUACUACCCCUUGUUGGUACGGAGGGACGGAGGAGGCUAGGUUAGCCGAAAGAUGGUUAUAGGUUUAAGGACACAAGGUGACCCUACUUUUUCAGGGUAAGAAGGGGUAGAGAAAAUGCCUCGAGCC